AAAAAAAGGCCCCGGGUUCGGAAGCUGCAAGAUUCUUGAGAAUGAGGAGGAAGGCGGUUUACUGUGGGCAUCGAUGGAGGAUCUUGAAAGUUUAAAUGAAAGAGUAACAGUGCAGAGCAGAGAGGAAGAUGGGGAAAGCGAUUUUAAAUGCCUUACUCUUUCCCGGAGGGUGGGUGGAAGUUUUCUGCCUAAAAAUUAAACCCCACACAGUCUGCAAACGCACGGCGCAGUCAAAACAGGAAGAGAUAAAAUGUUAUGUAUACAUUUUAAUUUUCAAAAAAAACAAAAAACAAAAAAACCUUUCUGCCGCUCUCAGAUCUUUUUCUAUUCUGAAAUGAUGCGAUGUUCCUUAAAAACAACAAACAGUGAUUGUCUCUUGAUCUCUUUCUGAGACGAUUUGGAUACAUUUAAUCGCAGGUUUCCCUGAAGGCUUGCUUUUCGUUGGCCCUUCUGUGGUUUCUAACGGAGACUAAAGGGUCAGAGCCACGAACUCUGAUUUACACGUCCAAGUGAGAAAGCUGCGAACAGUGCCAGCCGUCCAUCCUCUGGAAAGCACUUGAACAAGCCUGUGAAGCCUUCAUUUCAGGGACACAUGAAGACCAAGGCCGUCUGCAAGCCAGGAGGAGAACUCUCCUCAGAAACCGACCACCUGUGGCAUUCUGAUCUGGGACUUUCAGUCUCUGAACUAUACAGACUUUUAAUGAUAACACAAACCAUUUCUGUACUUCACGAACUGAAACGGCGAUUUGUGGUGUGGCAUCGUUCUCAGUCUUCCUCGAGUGUUCCCUGAGAUGGAGGCCUUCUCCUUCACCUCCAUCUGUCCUGAUUGCAACCAACACUUUAAGAACCUUCCAGUUGCACGCAAUGGAACAUAAAUACAUGCUACAUUGCAUGUGGUAAUGGUAAAAGUAUUAUUUGUUCUGGGUGGUGAUGUAAAGUAGAUUUCUUACCGAGGCAUGUAUUAAAAUGUUCGAGAACUAG